rnacentral:rRNA from 1 species
AGAUACUAUCAACCUUGCACGCUAUUAACGAACAAGGCUUACUCUCUGAUGACAGGAGUUUACGACCCGAGGGCCUUCAUCCUCCACGCGGCGUUGCACCAUCAGGGUUUCCCCCAUUGUG